GACGAACGCUGGCGGCGUGCUUAACACAUGCAAGUCGAACGGUGAAGCGCCUUCCUUUUUGGUGGGUGGGGGAGAGUUGCGCACGUGUGUGUAACGCGCGUAAACUGUGCCCCCCUGUUCUAGAUCACCAUGUGAAAGUGGGGCUAAUAGGGGAUUCUCUGGGUCUCUCGCAAGAUGGGUGGGGGAUAGAUAGUGUUAGGGGGGGGGGUGCGCUCGCGGCCUAUCAGCGUGUUGGUGGGGUGAUGGCCUACCAAGGCGGUGACGGGUAGCCGGCCUGAGAGGGUGGACGGUCACACUGGGACUGAGACACGGCCCAGACUCCUACGGGAGGCAGCAGUGGGGAAUAUUGCACAAUGGGCGCAAGCCUGAUGCAGCGACGCCGCGUGAGGGAUGGAGGCCUUCGGGUUGUGAACCUCUUUCGCCAGUGAAGCAGGCCUGCCUCGUUUGUGGGUGGGUUGACGGUAGCUGGAUAAGAAGCGCCGGCUAACUACGUG
rnacentral:rRNA from 1 species